CAGAGAGUCAAUCAGUAAAGCUUGAUGUUGUCAUGAUCCUGACAGGAAGAUAAAUAACCCCCCCCCACCCCCCCAAAAAAAAUUGAAGGUCAAGGACAUUGCAAAAUAAGGCACCAAGUCAUGUUUCCAUGUUUGCACGAUAUUCUCUUGCUCUGUGUGUUGUUGUCGGGGGGUGAAAUAGAGCAGAUAAACAGGAACUGGGAUUCAUUUCACGUGAAAAGUUGCAUGAGUGACCACGCGUGAGGCGAUUCGUGAGAAUGGCCCACAUCUUCAACCUGAGUUGUUUGAACUGUCUCUCAAAUGCAGGUACGGGAGCACCAGGACCUUUGUUCCUCGGUUGGGAAGAACUUCUUCAGCAUGCUCACCAGAGGAGUAGUUUGCUGGGUUGAAUAAACAAACAGCCCAACCGCGACAUGAAGAUAAGAUUCACGGCAUUGUUGGCUGUGACUGUAUUGCUGCCAUGGUAACGAGCGCCUCACGGCAGGGGGCCGUUGCCCAGGAGUCGUUUACCUCACGGAUGUGAUGGAUGAGGACUGGAGGUGUCUGCUUAUUCAGCGUCCUGGGUCUGAAGUCCGUCAGCUAAAACCAGCUGCUUCCCUCCACUAUCGACGCCCUUCUUCGUCUUCUUCUUCCUCUUUUGGCUGCUCCUCAACCAGCUGAUGGCCUGUCCCAGGGAGCUUCCCGG